UAGGCUAAGGAAUAAGCUACUGAGAUGAGAGAAUAAUAAACGUCACUAUUGUACAAACCACCACUGAAGACACACUUGUUUCUGGAACACUACAUUGGCGACUGAGGAUGAAGAGCUUUGGAAGAAAAAGGAAAAUAUUCGAGUUCAGUGAAAUUCGACGACUUUCUGUUUGAAGAAAUCAAAUAAAAUUGGAACAACAAGAGGAUCGAAAUCCAAUCGCAACGCUUUGAGAAAGACCUGAAAAUCACGACGAAGAUCCGGACGUUAAAAGGUUAAAUUUCACGGGAAAAUGCUCAAGAUACCUAGGAGGAAAAUGCCAUUAAUCAACGCUUCGGAUGGAGAUGUUCGGUAACUAUUAGUGCGUUCAUAUUUAAGAGAGACUCUCCAGUCUGGUUGGCCAUCACCAACAUCACCGCGCUGGUGUGAACAAUAAACGAAUGUUUAUGGGCUUGAUGCACAAAAUGUAACAGAGUGUAACCAGCGAAAGCUUGUUGGUUUUGACGUUUUCGUGGAAUUAUAGUUUAAGGCUUGCUUCGAUCUUUUGCUUCAGCGCAAUACAUAGAACUCAGCAGAAAAGUCUGCGUUUCGUCUAAAUGAAAUUGUUAUGCUGAGCAAGUGUGGACAUGUAUGUGUAAUUAUUGUGAGAUUAGAUAUAGUUUGGAAUACAUACGGAAUAAAUACAUAGAAAGUGGGCACAAGGGACCUGAACAUAAAGGCAUUUUACAUACCUCUAAAAGUUCAUACUUUCUAUAGAGCUAUAAAACUAUGUACACUCAAUAUGUUGAUGAAAUACUGAACCUUGUGAACAUAUUGAAAGUACACAACAAAUAAUAAUUAAUUAUAAUUAUUAUAAUUUUUGUGAAAAACAUAAGGGGUAUUUCACAUAGUUUACAAAUUUAUAGUACACUAAGCAGCGAAUUGAAAGCUACUUUACAACAUUUAUACCAACUUAAUUAUUUGCAUACCUAAAUUAUGUUACACUGGCCUUGUUUGAAAACAUAUUUUAGAACAGAGUAUUCUAUAUUAGACACAUGUUAUGUUCAAUCCAAAAAUAUAAUGGUAAAGGUGUGCACAUUAUUCAACGCCAACUGAAAUUCAAAUGUUUUCACAUCAAACAUUUUCAUUGAUGGAUUAAAACCAGCGUUGUGGAGGUAUAAAAAAAAAACUUGGUAACCGGUACACAUCAGACGAACAGGUUUGAGCUCAGUUUCCCAUGGCAGAUAACAUGUAAUUCAACAUUUUACUACAAUUGGGUUCUGUAGGGGUAUACCAAUUAUUUCAUAAUCGGAAUCUCCACCAAAAAAAAAAAAAAAUAGUCGAAAUCCAAAAUUUCAUCAAUUUUGAUGCCCGGAAACUGUUUUUAAAACGCAUUUAAAGUUUGUAUGGGGGAAAUUUGUUUGUCGGGGUUAACUGUUAUUCUAUCGAUAGGACUGUCAUUCUAUUCAAGAAAAAUAAAACUGUUUUGUUUAUUUAACCAUCAAAACAAAGGUAUUGGAACGCGAUAAAAUCACGUUAUACUCAGAAAAAUGAGCUCUUUCAAAUGGGCUAAAGAAAACAGAAAUAAUUUAUUCAUUAAACAACCCAAUUCAUUACCGUAUUUCAUAUAAUGUUUGUAAAAAGAAAUUGAAAAAAAAUAAUCAUGUUAUUCAUCACAGGUUUUAGAGAAGUGAUUCUUUUGGAAAAAAAACAUGGUAAAUUUACAGUUUACAAAGUAAAGGUAGAGAAACGAUGUCUCAGGCUGAAGAAAAUGUAUUUCGGAUUUGAUUAUUUGAAUAACUGGUUACUCAAAUGCGUAUGGAAGUGAUGUUUGUGAAUUUGGAAAUUAAGUCAAAAUAUACUAAAAAUUUAGAAGCCAAUAACUGUUUAAAAUUAAUUAGCGAGUCCGUGGAAUUGUUGAGUUUUGAACUACUCAGAGGAAAAGAGUACGGGCUGAUUGAAAAAUUUGAUUUACAUAUCUACGUCGAAUGGUAAUUGUUCCAUUCGUACAAACUAUGAUAAUUGGAAAAUUUGAUAUAUACGAUAAUGAUUGUUCUGAAUGAAUGUUUAAAACAUCUACUUAAAAAUAGAAAAAAAAGUUGAUUCUCAAAUUUCAUUGAAAAUGUUACAAAUUGACAAUGUUUUGCGAUAUUUGGCUGAUAUCGAUGCAAGGUUUAUUUGUUUGAUACUGUGUUCAGCUUGUUUAUAAAAAGGAACUUUGUUUUCUUAAACACAGGUCUAAAGUUUAAGCUUAAAGAUGCUAUAAAUAAUAAAGACAUUGUUAGAAAGACAGUUUAGUGAACACUGUAUUAUUAAAUAAAAUUUAAAGGAAUAGAUUAAAUUCCAUAUAUGUACGUUAUAAGCAGGGAGUAAAAGGAAUAAGUUGAUAUAUUCCGGUCUACUUCUGCAAAUGAAACUUAGAGGAUAGGAAUAUCCUAGUCCGUUUCUGCAAAAGCAACGCAGGGAGAUUGCGCAUUCAUUUGGUCCAGUUCUGUAACGAAAUGAAUGAAUAAUGUAAAUCGUCCAGUCCGCUCCUGUUCAACAGUAGAGAGUAAAGGGAAUACUCAAAGUAAUUCCGGUCUACUUCUCCAUAUGAAACGAAGAGGAUAGUGUGUCCUGGUCCGUUUCUGCAAAAGGAACGUAGGGAGAUUUGAGGAAAUUCAGUCCAUUUCAUGAAUGAAAUGAAGGAAUGAUACAAAUUAUCCAGUCCGCUCCUGGUUGAUUAGCAGAGAGUAAAGGGAACGCAGAUUCCGGUCUACAUCUCCAUAAGAAAUGAAGAGGAUAAAGAAAUUCUGGUCCAUUUCUGUAAAAGGAACAUAGGGAGGUCGUGGAAAUUCAGUCCGAUUUAAGAUAGAAUCGUAGGAAUAAAACGAGCCGUCCAGUCUGUUCUUGGUCAUUAAGUAGAGAGUAAAGGGAGCAAUAAAAGACUCCGGUCUACAUCUCCGUAAGAAAUGAAGAGGAUUAGGAAAUCCUGGUCCAUUUCUGUAAAAGGAACGUAGGGAGAUCGUGGAAAUUCAGUCCGAUUCAAGAUAGAGUCGUAGGAAAGAAAGCGAAUCGUCCAGUCCGUUCUUGGUAACUAAGAAGAGAGUAUAGGGAGUAAUAAGAGACUCCAGUCUACAUCUCCAUAAGAAAUGAAGAGGAUAAAGAAAUCCUGGUCCAUUUCUGAAAGGAAACAAAGGGAGGUUGUUUGAAUUCGGUCCGAUUCAAGAGGGAAUCGUAGGAAUAACAUGAAUUAUCCUGUUUGAUUAUGAGAAGUACGCUUAUAAGGGUUCUAUAGAAAGCAGGUUUUAAGAGUGUUUAUGCAAUAUAUGUACAUUAGCUUGACAAUCAAAGGAAAACAAGAAGCCGUUGUUAGUAUGCUUUUGAAAACAACUAUUUGGGUACACGUUAGAGGAAAAAUAGAUUUGUACAGUCUGCUAUGAGUUUGAGGUACUCUAAAGACCUUCAACUUAUGUCAUACAUAUAUUGUAUCUAUCCGAAAAAAAAAAACACGAAAGAGGUCCGUCAGUCUACUUUAAUAACAUAUAUAAAUAAAUAAAUAAAAAAAACAUAAAUAAAUAAGUAGAAAAACAAAUAAAAUAAAACAAAACAAAUCACAAAUUAUUCAUAUUAAUAUUUUAUGGAAACCAGAGGAUUUCAAGUCUAAUUUCAGCAAAGAAAAUGCAGUACAAGACUUUCAAGCAUUCUCGAGAAAAAUGUUGG